rnacentral:lncRNA from 1 species
GGUGAGAAUGAUCCAAAAACCUCAAUCAGAACCCAAACAGAAAGUGAGCUCCUGAAACUUGGGAGGAAAGACCUUCCUCAAAAGGAUGUCACAACACAUCUAGUACGAGAGGAUGAGGAUGAGGAAGAAGCUCUAAGAGAGGAAGAAGAGAAGCAUGAGGUAGAGGAUGAGAAACAUGAAGCAGAAGAGCAGGAAGAAGAGGAUCCGAAGCAUGGGGUAGAAGAGAUAGAAGAAGAGGGUCAGAAGCAUGAGGCAGAAGAGCAAGAGGAGGAGGAAAACAAGGAUGAAGAUCCAGAAGAUGUGGGAAAAAGAGCAGGA